GAUGAACGCUGGCGGCGUGCCUAAUACAUGCAAGUCGAGCGAACAGACGAGGAGCUUGCUCCUCUGACGUUAGCGGCGGACGGGUGAGUAACACGUGGAUAACCUACCUAUAAGACUGGGAUAACUUCGGGAAACCGGAGCUAAUACCGGAUAAUAUAUUGAACCGCAUGGUUCAAUAGUGAAAGACGGUUUUGCUGUCACUUAUAGAUGGAUCCGCGCCGCAUUAGCUAGUUGGUAAGGUAACGGCUUACCAAGGCGACGAUGCGUAGCCGACCUGAGAGGGGGAACGGCCAACACGGAACCGAGACCCGGUCCAGACUCCUAAGGGAGGGCGGAGGAGGGAAUCUUUCGGAAUGGGCGAAAGCCUGACGGAGCAACGCCGCGUGAGUGAUGAAGGUCUUCGGAUCGUAAAACUCUGUUAUUAGGGAAGAACAAAUGUGUAAGUAACUAUGCACGUCUUGACGGUACCUAAUCAGAAAGCCACGGCUAACUACGUG
rnacentral:rRNA from 1 species